rnacentral:rRNA from 1 species
GCAGGGAAUCUUGCGCAAUGGGCGAAAGCCUGACGCAGCGACGCCGCGUGGGGGAAGAAGGCCUUCGGGUUGUAAACUCCUUUUCUGGGGGAAGAGGACGGACGGUACCCCAGGAAUAAGCCUCGGCUAACUACGUGCCAGCAGCCGCGGUAAUACGUAGGAGGCAAGCGUUGUCCGGAUUUAUUGGGCGUAAAGGGCGUGUAGGCGGCAUGGGAAGUCCUUGGUGAAAUCUCCCGGCUCAACUGGGAGGGGUCCAGGGAAACUCCCAAGCUAGAGGGCAGUAGAGGAGAGUGGAAUUCCCGGUGUAGUGGUGAAAUGCGUAGAUAUCGGGAGGAACACCAGUGGCGAAGGCGGCUCUCUGGGCUGUACCUGACGCUGAGGCGCGAAAGCGUGGGGAGCGAACCGG